rnacentral:sRNA from 1 species
CAACACGGAGGAGGAGCAGACGCUCAACCAGCUUCUGGUAGAAAUGGAUGGAAUGGGCACCACAGACCAUGUCAUCGUCCUGGCGUCCACGAACCGAGCUGACAUUUUGGACGGUGCUCUGAUGAGGCCAGGCCGCCUGGACCGGCACGUCUUCAUCGAUCUUCCCACGCUGCAGGAGAGGCGGGAGAUUUUUGAGCAGCACCUGAAGAGCCUGAAGCUGACCCAGUCCAGCACCUUUUACUCCCAGCGUCUGGCAGAGCUGACACCAGGAUUCAGUGGGGCUGACAUCGCCAACAUCUGCAAUGAGGCUGCGCUGCACGCGGCACGGGAGGGACACACUUCCGUGCACACUCUCGACUUCGAGUACGCCGUGGAGCGCGUCCUUGCAGGUACAGGGGGCGCGCCCUCGGUGAGGGCCGUUCUUAGCAGGGCUUGAACCCCAGAAAUACCCAGGCAGGUAUUUAGAGGUGAGGUGGAUGGAGCCAGAUCCAGGCCUGGGCGUCCUGUGAUUUAGUGGCAGGGACCCUCACACGGGAAGGAACACACAUUGCGUUUCAGUUUAUGUAACUCGUGUCUGUAUGAGGCGGCGUACUUUUCCUUAGUUUAAAAUAUCACAGAUUUACCUAAGAGGAGACACUCGUCCAACAGAAAUAUAAAAAUGCCUUGCCAAAGAAAGUGAAAAAAUAUAAAUAAAA